GAGCCCCAGCACAAAAAAAUCCUGCGCUGUCCGCUGCGGCCAGCCGCGCUCCCUUGCGCACCCCAUCCCGAACCCGAGUCCCGCCGGGCCCAGGGAGCCCCGCCUCUGAGCGCAGCCCCAGACGGAGCUGGGCACUUGCCCGCCGGCCUCGUGCCACCCCGCGAGCGCCCGGCACCCCGCUCCAUCCACUCCUUACCCAGCACGGUCAGCUUGGAACCGGCCCCGAAGUACAGCUGCCCCGUGUUGGCACAGCUCAGGGGGCCCAGGCGCAAACCCGCCUUCCCCGACCAGGCGCCCGCUCCUUGCGGGCCAGGGUCCUGGGAUGCUGCGGGCUGGGCAACCCCUUCCGCGGUCGCACCCAGGAGCGCCUUUCUUACCUAGGACGAGUCCAAGCUCCUUCCCCUUCGUGUAUUCCACAAGCUCCAUGAACAUCUGCUGUGCGCCAGGCCUCCUGCCGGGGAGUCCACCUUCGGAGGAGCAUGUACCAGCUCUGCCCAAUGCCUCAAGCCUCCUACCUCUGAGCCGUGGCCCCGGCUAAGCACCCAGGAGUACCCGACCCUGUUGUUCGGCUCUGGCUCACGCCUCUGACUGUCACCACCACCCUCUCCCAUGGAUAAUUGUACCAACUCUUGCUUUGAAGAGUUUGCCAACUUCUCAGACUCUUCCCGGAGGAUCCCAGUUGGAAAUCGAGUGCUAGCCUCUGACUGCAUUGGAGUUGACAGCUGGCAGUGCUAUGUGAAAGGGCCACUUUGCAUUUCAACUUUCUAUUGAAUUUCUAUUUGUGUUUCAAAAUUUCUAUUCAUGAACGACCCCCUCGUGAACGGGCAGGCUCCUUGGGGACUAUGACUUGGAUGUCUUUAUUUUCUUGAAGGUUAAUGGCAGAGCACUGCAAUGGUGUGUGCUUGAUGAGUGUGGUAGUGCCCAUGUGCAAGUAUGUAAAUACGUAUAUACACACACGUGUGUGUGUGUUGUACAAGUGAGCACACACAUCUGAAUGCCUCGUGUGUGGCGAUGGAGAGAGGAGGCCACGUGCUACAGUCACGCGAGUGAGGGAGUAGAUGGCUGGUUCAGGCAGGCCUGGUGGCGAUAUCUGCU
rnacentral:lncRNA from 1 species